rnacentral:ncRNA from 1 species
GAGAGCACAUUACGAUGAAAGUUGUAAGCUGUGUUCGGGUGGGAGUUAUUGUCGUUGGCCUCUAUGGUAGAACCCGUCCAGGAGGCCUGAGAGGCAGUGGUUUACCCUGU